rnacentral:rRNA from 1 species
GAGAGGGUUGCUCUCCUGGUGGCGAGUGGCGGACGGGUGAGGAAUACAUCGGAAUCUACCCCGUCGUGGGGGAUAACGUAGGGAAACCUGCGCUAAUACCGCAUACGAUCUACGGGUGAAAGCAGGGGAUCUUCAGGCCUUGCGCGAUUAGAUGAGCCGAUGUCCGAUUAGCUAGUUGGCGGGGUAAAGGCCCACCAAGGCGACGAUCGGUAGCUGGUCUGAGAGGAUGAUCAGCCACACUGGAACUGAGACACGGUCCAGACUCCUACGGGAGGCAGCAGUGGGGAAUAUUGGACAAUGGGCGCAAGCCUGAUCCAGCCAUGCCGCGUGCGUGAAGAAGGCCUUCGGGUUGUAAAGCCCUUUUGUUGGGAAAGAAAAGCAAUCGGUUAAUACCCGGUGUCUGACGGACCCAAAGAAUA